GCUCUUUCACAAACCGCGAAGGGCGCCUAUAUCAGCCUCGUCAGCUUGCUGACUAUGGCGAUAAACGGUGCGUGGAAUAAGCGUUGUGGACCCGGGGCGGUACCCGGCGCCUCCAUAUUCUCUUGCGGCCCUUCGGGGCCGCCGCGGCCUGAUUCAGACUUCGCGGCGUUCGCCGCUACGUCAUCAGGACGCGAUCACGGGGGAUUUGCGGGGGCGAAAUAGACUCGACACGCGUGGUAAAGACCCAUCUUUUGCCCGGCAUUGUACCGCCGUUAUCGGGCUAAUUUUUAAAUGCGAACGAUAACAACGUUGCAUUCGCUGCAGCUGCCUAAUCAGUAGCUAAAGCGCGGCUCGGGGGCGCCGGGCAACAGAAGCCCCCCACU
rnacentral:tmRNA from 1 species